GUGCUCAUUUCAGCAGCACAUAUACUGAAAUUGGAACGAUACAGAGAUUAGCAUGGCCCCUGCACAAGGAUGACACGCAAAUUCGUGAAGCAUUCCAUAUAUUU
ensembl:snRNA U6 U6 spliceosomal RNA